rnacentral:lncRNA from 1 species
GAGAUUUUUGGAGGAAGCUGUGAGCAUGUGAACAAUGUGAGUUUUUGGAGGAAGCUGUGAGCAUGUGAACAAUGUGAGCAUGUAAAGCAUAAAACAUCCUCGGUAUCCCAAGUGAUAAGCCAAAAGUUGUUUCCAGUACUCAGACUGAAGAUUGUUCAUGACUUAUCUUUAUUAUCCCCAGCAAGUGUCAUUGGCCCAUGCGUCGCCUCUAUUAUCUUUCCCUAUUUCUGCC